UCCCUGGUCUCACCACUGCUAGCCACUUCCUGCCUCAUUGGUUGAGAACUCCCUUUGAAAUCCAGUGGGAAAUAUGUGCAAGGAGCAAUCCCCAGCCAACUGAAGAAAAUCCAAUUUCUCUUUGAAUGCAGUUAUAAAGGAUCCCUUUGCCUGUAAGAUUCAAGUGGCACUGUGGUUUUUGUUCCAAUUUUGAGAAGAGGAAAAUUCUUGAUAAGAGAAUAGCUGUGUUAAGUAUUUGUUUAAAGCUGAACCACAAAACCAUUCAUGAGUAACACAGGCAGUUAAAUGGUACCAUCUGGAGCAAAAGGCAUCUGUAAGUAUCCUUAUUUAAGAACCAGUUUACAAAUAAUAACAGACUCAUGGAAUUAAGCAGUUAGCUACUUUGUCAGGAAUAACAGCAUU